ensembl:lncRNA
UCGAGUUUUGAUUUACAUUUGGUUGAGUUUGUCAACUACCGUGGAAUUAGCAACAACAAAACAAACAAUGUCACUGUUGUCAUUGGGUUUCAGAUUAAAAGUUUGGUGAAAAAAAAAAAAGUCAGUUGAUUGAUUCACGUCAUCAAGUUGCAUUUUGGGUUGAAAUAACGUGGAAAACACUUUGAUCCAACACUUUUUUGUUGUUUUUUGUCCACUGGUCAUAAUUCACUACUUCUGACCAGGGCCCAUAGGGAUCUGGUUCAAAGUAGUGCACUAUAUAGGGAAUAGGGUGUCAUUUGACAUGGCCAUAGGGAUCUGGUUCAAAUAGUGCACUAUAUUUUUUGAAUAGGGUGCCAUUUGACCAGGGCCCAUAGGGAUCUGGUUCAAGUAGUGCACUAUAUUAGGGAAUAGGGUGUCAUUUGGGAACGUACUCUCUUAACAGGAUCCAUAAUACAGUGUUUCACAGCAGUAGCAACACAGCCCUCUAGCUAGAGAUUUGAACAGGGCUGGGUCACUCUGAUAUUCUGGCAUGUCUGGCAAACCAGCAUCUGAUUUAGACUGAAACGGGAAACCAGUGUGGUUGUGUGUGUGUGUGUGUGUGUGUGUGUGUGUGUGUGUGUGUGUGUGUGUGUUGUGUGUGUGUGUGUGUGUGUGUGUGUGUGUGUGUGUGUGUGUGUGUGUGUGUGUGUGUGUUGUGUGUGUGUGUGUGGUUUAAGUGUCGACAGGAGAUAGAACCCGCAGGCAACCAAGUUCCUGAGGAUAAAAUCUUGACCUUUCCUGGCUAAGAACAUCUGUCUUAAAGCUGCAUGGUCCUGCUCCUCACUCACUGGUGUCCCGGAGUAGCCACAAAACACACACACAGUCGCUAUUGAACUGCCGUGGUGAUGUUGUCGAAAAAACAGGAGACACAGGAAACCACCACCAGACCCUCUUAGUCGAUCACAGCACCCAGACCCCUCAGUCGAUCACAGCACCCAGACCCCCUCAGUCUUCACACAACCCAGACCCCCUCAGUCGAUCAACAGCACCCAGACCCCCUCAGUCGAUCACAGCACCCAGACCCCCCCGUCGAUCACAGCACCCAGGACCCCCUCAGUCGUCACAGCACCCAGACCCCCUCAGUCGAUCCCCGCACCCAGACCCCCUCAGUCGAUCACGCACCCAGACCCCCCUCAGUCGUCACAGCACCAGACCCCCUCAGUCGAUCACAGCACCCAGACCCCCUCAGUCGUAUCACAGCACCAGACCCCCUCGUCAGCACCACAGCACCCAGACCCCCUCAGUCGAUCACAGCACCAGACCCCUCAGUCGAUCACGCACACAGACCCCCUCGCGAUCACCGCACCCCGACCACCUCAGUCGAUCACAGCACCCAGACCCCCUCCAGUCUGAUCACAGCACCAGACCCCCUCGUCGUCACAGCACCCCGACCCCUCAGUCGAUCACAGCACCCAGACCCCUCCAGUCGAUCACAGCACCCAGACCCCCUCAGUCGAUCACACACCCAGACCCCCUCAGUCGCUGCACAGCACCCAGACCCCCUCAGUCGAUCACAGCACCCAGACCCCUCAGUCGAUCACAGCACCCAGACCCCCUCAGCGAUCCACAGCACCCAGACCCCCAGCAAAUUAGUUUUACUAAAUAAAUGCGUUAAAUUA